GCGCUCGCUUCGGCAGCACAUAUACUAAAAAUGGAACAAUACAGAGAAGAUUAGCAUGGCCCCUGUGCAAGGAUGACAUGCAAAUUUGUGAAGCAUUCCAUAUUUUU
rnacentral:snRNA from 1 species